rnacentral:lncRNA from 1 species
CAAUAACAAAAUAAUAUUAAAAACGUCACAACAAUUUACCAUUGUUCCCAACAGGUUUUCACACUUCGGAAACCACGCAUAAUGACAUCAUCAUCUAUUUUUUGGAAUACAUCGUUUUCAAUAUAUACAACUAAGUUGUCAUUCAUCCACCGAUCUCCAAUUUUAUUGCGCAAUCGAGCCUUCACAAUGUUAGUUGCAGUCAAGACUCUUUCAACUGUAGGAGUAGCAAUGGGAAGAAUUAAUGCCAAAUUCACAAGCUUGUAAACUAAUGGAUACACUUCAUUUUUCUUAGUUGCAUUCAACUUCUUUGAAAGAUUACUAAGGCCCCGUAAUUCUUUGAACUCUUUGCUAGAGCGCAUAUCAGAUAUAUAAGUUUCAAGUUGAUCAUCAAGUUUCAUACACUCUGUUGUUGAAAAAUCGUUCGGAUAAUACCGAGCAAGGAGAACUAACUUUUCCUUAUCAAAAGCCGAGAAUGAAUCAUUGGGGCAUAAGCAUGCUACACAAAGAAGAAGCUCAUUACUUAUCUCAGUGAAUCGAUCAUUCAAUUCUUGAAGUUGCAUAUCAAUGACAUUAUAAAAUAAGCCCUCACGGAAGUAAUGCAAAUUUGUCAUUUCUUCAAUAUUUCGCCUUGGGCGAACUUGAUGUAUAAAGGUACCAUCCAUGUUCAAAACAUCGAUAUUGUGCUUUUGACAGAAAGAACUUACUUGUUCCAAAAGAGAAUCCCACCCAUUCUCCCUCAUCAAUUGGAGUUGUUGUUUACAUACUUUCACUAAAUUUAUGGCAUUUACAAUAUCUUCAUCUUUCUUUUGUAAUGCCUUCGACAAUUCAUUGGAAAUUCCUAAAAUAGUUCUCAUGAGAUGUAGACUAAACGCAAAGUCAAAUGAUAGCAUCCAAUCUAAUAAAUUAUUUGCCCAGGAUCUUUGAUCAGGACAUAAUUCAACAUCAACAAUCAUUUCAAGGACAUCAAGGAUAGGCGAGAACAUGGUAAUCAAA